GCGCACCCGCCAGGCGCGCCUGUGCGCGGAGCCGGCUCGGACAGCGAGGGCGGUGAGGACAGGCGCCGCGGCCCGCCUCGCCCUACCUGGGGACACCUGGAGACCGCGCAGGUCGGACGCAGGCCGUUCAGGGCUUGGUGUGCGUGGACGGUGGGCAGGGCGCCAGCUUGCUUCGGUCUUUGGGAAGGGCUUGGGGUCUACCCCGGGGGAAGUCGGCCGAGCUUCGCCUUCAGGCUUACCCGAGGUUUGAACACGGGGAUUUGUCUGGCGGGCCGUGUCGCGCGCGGUCCGGGGGUCCGAGGGCCCGGGGACUGGCCGGGCCCCCAGGGCUCGCGAGCGCUCGCCUGGGCUUACCCGCGCCCCCAGCGCCGCCCCCCUCUCCCCGCCGCACCCCCCGGGAACCACGUGCGGCUGCCGCCCGCCACUCUGCCUGCCAAGCGGAGCCCGCCCCCAGGGCAGGGGAGGGGACGCGCGGGCGGGGUGGGCUGUGCCCCGCGGGAACCCGGCUGGCCCGCGCGCCCUCCGGUGCCAGCUCGGCUCGCUCCGCCUGGCGCUCCCACGGGCUCCCGGGAGGUCGCGGACGGCGCGGCGGGAGGCGCAGAGCCUGCCCCAGGGGCCGAGAGAAAGGCAGCGGAGACGGCCACUGUCCAGGCGAGUAGCCCCGGAGGGGGCCUCUCUCAAGGGGGCGCCGAGCGCCUGGGAACCCUUUCCCCGGGCGCCUUAGCCUUUGGACGGCCUUUAGCCGUUGGAGGCAGCAGGGCAGCGCCGGCCCUCGGGGACCUGGCCUGGGACCAUUUCCCAAACCCGUCCUCCGAUUUUUGCGCGUCAGGAGCCAGCCCCCGGCUGCGCCCGCCAGGCAGGAGCAGGAGGCAGGAGGCAGGAGGCAGGACUCGGGCGCACCUCCGGGGCGUCGUGGAGCUGCGGCGCCCAGCGAAGCCGCUUUCCGAGCUCUGGGGCUUUGGGAGAGACAAGCUCAAGGCAAGGACGUUUGGAGAGCUGCCGUGGAGCUGGGGCUUGGAGGAGUGAGGCAUGUAUUUUCAGCUGCACCUUCUAAAGGGGAGACCUGUCACCACCAGAGAGGCAACAGCUCCCAAAUAUGACUACAGAUGACUAGAUCCACAGAGGCCUGGGAGUCUCUGGAUUGAUAGUUUAGAAUAUGCUAAAAAGCCAGGGCUUUCCACAGAGAAUUGAAGGGGCAGCUGGUCAACACGACAGCGACCUGGAGCAAGGGAGUCAGAAGACAGUUGUAGCAAGCAAGACGGACCUUCCGAGGGGCUGACUUGGGUCGCUGAGGGCAGGCUCCUGCCACGCAAGCUGUUGCAGCCCUGUGAUGGUGAGGUCCUCCACCCAGGGGAGCGAGUGGGGCUGUGCAAGGGGGCUGCCUGGUGAGUGAGAACUCCUGCAGGUCUGCCUGCCCCCUAAUCCCUGCUUAGGAACUGGAGGGUGUCAGAGCCCCCUGUGUGCUCUCCCUCAGCAAUAUGAGGACUCUGAACACCUCUACUAUGGAUGGGGCUGGGCUGGUGGUAGAGAGAGACUUCUCAUUCCGCAUCCUUACAGCCUGUUUCCUGUCUCUGCUCAUCCUGUCCACACUGCUGGGGAACACACUGGUCUGUGCCGCUGUCAUCAGGUUCCGACACCUGCGGUCCAAGGUGACCAACUUCUUUGUCAUCUCCUUGGCCGUGUCAGAUCUCUUGGUGGCCGUCUUGGUCAUGCCCUGGAAAGCGGUGGCGGAGAUCGCUGGUUCUGGCCCUUUGGGUCCUUCUGUAACAUCUGGGUGGCCUUUGACAUCAUGUGCUCCACUGCGUCCAUCCUCAACCUCUGUGUGAUUAGCGUGGACAGGUAUUGGGCCAUCUCUAGUCCCUUCCGGUAUGAGAGGAAGAUGACCCCCAAGGCAGCCUUCAUUCUGAUCAGCGUGGCGUGGACCUUGUCUGUACUUAUCUCCUUCAUCCCAGUGCAGCUCAGCUGGCACAAGGCAAAACCCACAAGUUCCUCCGAUGGGAAUGCCACUUCCCUGGGUGAGACCAUGGACAACUGUGAUUCCAGCUUAAGCAGGACAUAUGCCAUUUCAUCCUCCCUAAUAAGCUUUUAUAUCCCCGUGGCCAUCAUGAUUGUCACCUACACCAGGAUCUAUAGGAUCGCCCAGAAACAAAUACGGCGCAUUUCGGCCUUAGAGAGGGCAGCAGUCAUGCCAAGAAUUGCCAGACCACUACAGGUAAUGGAAACCCUGUGGAGUGUUCUC
rnacentral:lncRNA from 1 species